GUGAAAUGCAUCCGAUGAAGUGAGCUGUAGCUCACGAAAGCUUAUGCUCUAAUAAAUUUGUUAGUCUCUAAGGUGCCACAAGUACUCCUUUUCUUUUUACCUCCCACUAAGCAAUAUUUAAGGUGCACUGAUCCUUAGCAUAUGAAUGAUCUAUGCUGCCUGCACCCAGAAGGCCCAAUUCUGAUCUCACUUACACCAACUUUAAACCAGGGCCAUUCCAGUGGUUCAGUGGAAUUUCUUUGGGUUCUGAGCCCCGCAUAAUUCAGGACUCUAUUUUCCAUCAGUGCCUGGGCUCUGGGGAUGCUGAUGUUUGUACUUACUUCAAGAGGUAUUUCUGGGGUCCAUAGCUUGGAAACAAAUAAAUACCACUGUGCCCAAGGAUGAAGUUUCACCGGGAUACCACAAAUCCAAACAAAAACUAUGAGCCUCGAAGAGUUUCAGCUUGUGGAGUUCCCUUGAAUUUUUCCAUUAGGAGUGGAGGGUCAGAGUUGCCUCUCUUGCCUUUGGAUUUGGCCUGCAGAACCAACCAUCUUCCCAGACCAGCUUGGAUCUUGGAGGAUGCACCAGAGGCCAAUGGCUCUACACCAGCUCUGAACUCCCCAGUUUUGCCAAUCCAAGUGCCAUGGAUUCUCUGGGAUCCUUCACUGGGGAGGUUCUACAGUAUGGAAGGAAAGGCUCAGGCAAUAUUAACUUCCACUGUUUCUGCCCACAGUUGUGGGAGGGGGAAAAGUUUGCAUGAGCCAGUUCUGCCCUGCCCCAUCCUGCUGCCUCUGUGCUGAACCCCCCCUGGGAAAACUGAGGGGACAGAGAAAGCAAGCUAAAAGCAGGCAAAACUUCCGCUUCCAUACGUGCAGGCUCUCAUCUGCAUCCUGAGGUGGAGGCAACCAGGGGGCCUUGGGAGAGUCAUCAGAAGCCAGAGUUCCCCAAAUCUGAAUGAACAUUUCCAGGGAAUGGGGGGAAUUGAGCGGGAGGGUGUUGUGACUUUCCUGGCAUCAGGAGUCUCUUGCUAGAAUCCCCUGAGUUCUCUGAUGGCUCAGUGGCACCUCAAAGCCCUCUUCCCCCCAUGAAUAAAUGUUCCAUGGAGGGGUCUAUGGCUCCACCGAGGGCAUUCUGCUUAUCACAGCCUCAGAUCUAACCUAGGUCUGAUUGUGGCCUUAAUCCUCCAAACGCUCGCUCAGGCCAAUAGUCCCACUUAUCUACCUUUUCCCUCCAACCCAAGCUAUACGUCCUCACGUGUGCUUCCAGGGGCUGAUGCUCAGAUAUACUAAAGCCCCUUUGUGCUGCUCUGGCAGUGUAAAAGGACCACAAAAUGGGCAUAUGUGGCCCCCUGAGAACAUUUCUUGUGCAGGGAGACUUCCUUGCUGGAUUAGAGCUGGCAUAGGGACUCUUUCCUGGCCCUGCUUCUAGCCCCUGGGGUGGGGCAUAUCCUGGAUGCACUGCACUAUGGUUUUCCUCUGUUUCCCAGGCCCUGUAGGGGACCUUAAGGCUGUUGUAGCAUACAGUGGGGGACUGAACAGACCCUAUGUGACCCCAGAAUACAAGAGGUUCAAAGGUUGCUUAAAGCCACCUAACCACUCCCUUCUCUCCCCUCCCCCAACUGUUACUACCCCAAGUAAAGAAGCUAAGUAACUGAGCAUCAACCUCCCUGAGGGGCACAGCUCCAAGGGCCAUUGGGCCAAAUUCUGCUCUUGCGUGGGCUGCCCUCAGGGCAGAGAUCCUGCCAGUCAGUGCAGCGACUCCAGCGGGUUCUGUUGGGGCAGGAUGGUGUCAACUUACUAGUUAUUCCAGAUUUACCCUCCAAGUAUUUCCAGGCAGAGUCUGGCCCAAAAUACAGAUAUAUUUUUAAUUUGGGUUGAAAUGAGUGUUCUGAACCCAUUAAAAAAAUCCACCCACUGAGUAAUAGCCAGUUUCAUUUUAUUUAGUGAACACCCUCCCCCCUUGUCUUAAAGUGAUAAAAAUCUACAUGUCUUCUCACCAAUCUGUUGUUUCACAUUGACAUUUGGGCCCAAUGCUGGUCUAUCAGUACCAUGCUGGCUUUAGGACUCUGCCGGCAUCUAGCAGGGUUUAGGCCCAUAGCUGUUGGGAGCUGAGCUCUGAAUGGCUCAGCUCGGCUCGGCAUGGACUACUGGCUCCACUCGGAGUGUAGCAAAGCAAGGCCUUGCAGCCCCCGCAGGCUAGUGUAGCACGGCGUUAAAACUGAAGUGACAGUAUCCAGUUAAAAAUCAUGGAUCAGACCAUCCGUUCUGCCCUUUGAUGAUGGGAGAGGAAAACCCAUUCCUUUGGCCCAAACAAUGGCGGAGGCCCCUCUCUUUGACAUUGAGGAAACUGCCACGUGUGUGUUGGCCCACAUCCUCCAAGGUACUUAGGUUCCUAACUUCCACAGAUUUCAGGCAAAGUUAGGAGCUUAUAUACCUUUGAGAAUGUGGGCUUCAGUGGCUGGGGGGGACAGGGGAUUCCAUGGUAGGUUUGAAGAGUUCUGGGCCAAGGGAAAGCUGCUCAUUAUCCUUCUCUAAACCUGCCAGAAUCUGGUAGAGGCUCCUGCUCUGUGCUCUCAACCCCCUUGGCACUGGCAAGGACCCAAUGAGAGCAUGUCUUCUGAGGGGAGUUGUGCUGCCAGGGUGGACUAAGGGGGCACACAGGAGGCAAUGCCCUGCCCCUCAUGAGGAGAUGAUUCUGAGGUAACUCCCUUUUCCCAGCCCUCCCGUGGGUUUUCCUGCAAGAGCCUGGGCUUUAGAAAGAAUUCCCUACAGGUGUCAUUAAUUGCUAGAGCUUUUCAAAGCAUGGCUGGGUCAUUUUAGAAGGGUUUGCUUAAAGCUGCUGUGUGAAUCAUGCUCCCAGAGUUUCCAGUGUGAAUAACUCUAGACCCAAAGAGAAACUCAAACCAGAGGGUAUUUCCCAAGUAUUAUGCAAAAACAUUUGUUUUGCUUGGGGUCAGUGCAGGAAAUUCUAAGUUGUCUCAUGUUUGCAUGACUAAGAAUUGUUGUUAAUUACUGGUCCCCAAUUCAUUCAGAAAGUUCAGGAACUGUAGCCAACCCUGCAGUGAGCCUGGGAUGGACUUUGAGGUAGUAACAUCAGCAGACACCAGGUUCUCUCUGUACAGUAUCCCUGACUCCAAAAUGAGGGCAACGACACUUCCCCAGGAGGUGAGAGCAGCUGGUUCAGCCCCUAGGAUCAUGACCUUCCUGGGCAAGGGGCAUGGCUGGCUGUGAAUCCCUGUCUGGACAGACACCCAGUGCUGGCUGGUGGACUGAAGAAGGUGGCUGUUCCAGCAUUGUGCCAGGUUCCCCUGCUGGAGCUGGGCGUCCCAGCAUGCUGGUCAAUGGAGCCUGGCAGUGCUUCAGAGAAGAGGGAGUUUUGCAUUCGUAUCAAUCUCUGCCAGUCAGUGACGGAGCAGAGGGAGAGAAGUCCAGGUCGGUGCCAUAAAAGGAAAUGUAUUUCACUCCUUCCCUCCUCCCUCAACUCUAGAAUCCCUCAGCAUCCGGGGGUCCCUUUGCACUCCAAUGUACCUGCCUCAUUGACCAGCCCCCCCCCCCCCCCACAUGCAAUGCAUUAUAGUCACAACUUUUCCAGCCACAGAGGAGUGGAUUGGAUUUCCACAGAAGCCUGCAACACUCAGUUCUCCAUAGGGGUCACUGUUGAGCAUCACUGGCAACUUCCUCCCCCCAGGACCUGAAGAUGCUCCACCUGCCCAGCUCAGGGAGCGAGAGAGGUGGCUGUGGGACUGGUGCCUGUGUAGUGGCUGGCAUUCCUAUUAGACCUCUAGCUUUUUGCAUUGGUUCUCCACCUCCACAGCCAGCUGGCUGUUACUCAGCUCCUGUUCUUUGUGGCACACUCGAUACUGCCUUCCAUUGCGAAAGCAGCUAGCAGAUCAGAGCCUGUCCUGCAGCACUGGGCUAACACAGCCGCUCGGCUCUAAUGUCCCCGGGGGAUGAACAAAAGGGGGAACCAGAGCUAUAAAAAAUGCAUGAAUUUUAGAAAGGACUGUGCUGAAGGAAAAGGCAGCACGUGGCUGAGAUGAAAGAGCAACCAGCACUUCUGCAGAGCAGUGUGCUUUGGCUCGCUUCACUCCCACCCACCACACCGUGUCCCAAAUAUACCACACUCCCCUCAGAAGAACAGGGGAUAAUAAUCUUAGCUAUCAGCCAAAAGCAGAAGCUAGAAUCCCAACCCUUCGCUUUCCAGAUGGAUUCAGAUUCUAGUCCCAGGCUUUGAACUGGCACUGGUACCCUUAGUUCUGGGUCAGAGCUAAUACUGGGUGGGAACUGUUUCCUUCUUCCUUUUGGUUUGGGCCUGAAAUAUUCCCGGAAUUGGUGCAGUGUUGACCCAAAGUGACAGAAAUCUCCCCCGAACAGCUAAACUAAUGAGAUUUCUGCAUUCUUGAAACCAAAACCCUCACCUGAACCCUAUCCCCAGUUGCCCCUUGAACCCAAACCCUGACAUAAAUCUAAUAGGGAGUGAAACCUCACCAUCUUGUCCUCUCGCUAUAGCUAACAUGUGGGAGUGUGUGUGGCACCAAAGGCAGCCAACGUUUCCAUCAUAAACCCUGGUAUCUGGGAGUGACCCAUCCAUAGAACUUCAGUCUGAGCUAAAAGUUGGCGUGUGAAGUCUGAACAAGGAAGGAAUAAGUUACUUAAAAAUGACUGAUCCAAUUUAAACAUAUACAAAGGCCAAAUAAAACCCCACCCUUAGAAAUGCUGUCGUUUCAGUGCUCUGUGUUCUUAUAACCCCAAAACAGCUUUGAUUUAAAACAUGACAUUUCCAGGACAGUGUAAGACAAGCAAAGCACUCCUUCCAGCUGAGAGAAGGUUUAUCACGCUCCUACUGGCUCGGGAAAGGUGGAGCUGCUGUAUAGCUCCUGGCAGGGUAGUUGCUUGGGCCCAGAAGGGUCCUGGUUCUGUCACAGUGAUGCAGGAUGCACACAGAAUAUACCAUAUUCUGUCCUUACUCACCUCAGUGUAACCUGGAGUUCUUCUG